UGAAACGGCGUAAUCGUAAUGUAAAUUGUAAAACUUUCUAACAAGUAACAACAAAAAACAAUCGAACAAUCAAAUUUAAACUGUUUGCGGUUUGUAGUUUGUACUUUGUCCCUAAGCUCCAUAAACGAUCCAUCAUGAGUUCCAUGAGAAAUUCUGUUGAUGAGUCUUCGACAGCGCCAUCAGAUUCACCAUGUGCAAUAUGUCUGGGAAAGGUUGAAAACAAGUGCUUUGCCAAUAAUUGUCUUCAUGAGUUCUGCUACAGUUGUUUAUUUAGAUGGUCCAAGGAAAAAACAAAAUGCCCGCUAUGUAUGCAACCAUUCAGCUCAAUUAUUCACAACAUCAGAUCUAACAAUGACUAUGAUGAACAAACAAUCCAGUCAACUGAUGAUAUUGUUUCAGAUGAGCCUUUUUUACAGCGGUUUCUACAGUUUAUUUUGUCUACCCAGGCAAACCUUCAAACUCUAGAAUCUACACUCCAAACAAAUUCAGACUCGCGUCAUUCUGGUCAUAUUCAUGAGCUUCGUCAAGCUCUAUUAGAGUUGAUGAAUGAAAGGCAAAAUAUCAUGUCUCCCAAUUCUUCUGCUGCUAUUGUUGAUAAUCUGUUGGAUACAGACAACAGAAAUGAUAUUGAGAUUGUAGAAGUGAUGAGAAGAGGAAGAUUUCAUCCCAUUUUUGAUGAAAUUACGCUUUCCGACGACGAAUAGUAUGUAUGACGAAAUUUCCAUAUCGGGCCCAAGACUUGUGAAGCACAAGCGACCUCUACUGUUUUUCUGUUAGAGAUAUUUCUCUUAAGCUUCCACCCACUCGAAUCUUUAUAUAGGUGCACUGUGGAAAUUUGUUGUGGAACUUCCUUUGUCAUAUAUUCCAGUCGUUAUCGGCUUCGUUGAAUUUUCCCCAGCUCCUCCUUCUGCAGGUUACUUUUAUUGACUAUAUUUGUCCACAGUUUACCAAAUGCGUUCUACAGAGAGUCCGUGGAUCUCUGAACAUUGCCUUUCCCAGCCUUUCCGUAGAAUCGAUUCGUUUGAUUAGUUCAAAUCUUCCAACUCUUCCCCAAAUUUCCUUUUUUUUUUAGUUUUUUCGAGUAACGACAAAGUUUCAAGUUGGGGAAAUUAAACGCCACGUGCACCACGUUUAGCAUUUCUAUCUCGAAAGGAAUAGAAUGUUUUAAUUGUCCAACUUUUUUCUCUAUGUAUACAGCAACAAGUAUCGAUUUCUGAAAACCUAGGAAUUUGCUUGAAAUUAAUAAAUUAGGAAAUAUUAGAAUCUAGCUUUUACGCCAUCACCAAUAGAAAGUAAAAAAAAAAACGAAGUAAUCUUUAUUUUACCCUUUGCUGAUCGUAUUGAGGUUAUGGAGCAGUUUUCAGUGAAAAUCGUUUGUGCAAUCCUAGAUUUUCUAGAAUAUUGUCUAUGUUAUUUUUGAGAACAGAAAUAAUGUCGUAUAUGGGAAUCUUUGCCACUUUAAAUUGCGCUUUUGAAAGACCCUUUUUUUAUAGAAAUAGCGAAAAAAAUUCAAUUCCAUCCCGAAAAUUUUUCCCAAUUUUUUAAAAGCGUUUAGACCCUAGUGUGUAAUAGGUGUAUUUAGCGUCAAUAUAAUGACAGGGAAAGACUUUCUACAGUAAACUGUCCAUCGACGAUAGUGAAUCACUAAAGAGACGUCGAGCAACUCUGCAAUUUCCUGUCUAUCUCGUGAAAAAUCUAAGCGCCCCAAUCCGUAGCUCGAGUUUGUAUCGAUUUCGUUGCUUUGCUCGUAACUGCGUGCUCAAGAAUGAUGCUAAGACAAACUCAGAAAUGUUGGUGUUACGUUCGCUUGUCGGAACAGAAAAGAACAGACAACAAACAAGAAACUACUCGAGGAUUCAUUUAGCCGGAACUUGUUUCAACGACCCUCUAGAGUUGCAUCUCUACACAAAGACAACCGACGGUCUCAAACGAGCGAAUUUCGUAAUUCUCGAGCUCUAAAUAAUUUCUGCCUCCACUUUCCUCUUCGGGGUAUGACACAGUGCAAUUUCUAUAUUUCGCCCCAAAAAAUUACCCCGUUUCCUUUCCUCGUCCUUGGCGGCCGGAACCUGGCCAUUUGGCCAAGACGGAGAACAGAUUAUUGGCCAUGUUUGUCAAAAACCUGGCAGCGUUCCGGUCAUUAUGGGCGUGUACACGGCGCUGUUCGUCAGCAUCAGGCGGACGAAGACGGCCACGCCGCUGGCGCCCAACGAAAUUGAAAUGGCCGUCCGCUUCUUUUUCAUCGUCUUCUCUGACUGCCUCUGCUGGAUGCCCUUUUGAAAAUCAUGGCGCUGGCCAACGUCUACAUUCCCGGCGAUUUGUACUCAUGGCUGGUCGUUUUCAUCUUGCCCGUCUAAUCGGCCAUCCAUCUUCUUCUGUACAUGUUCACUACACCGAUAUUUCGUGCGGCCGUUCGUGAUUUCUUUUACCGGUUCGCCCUUCUGAGACCUGACUGGACCAGCGCGGCCACCAGCAGCAUAGGACGUACAACUAUGGUUCGUGGAGUUCGACCAAGCAUCAGUUUCCGCCAGAACAAUUUCAACCAAUCAUCGACGCAAGGCAAUCACGUUCCAGUGACAAUUGAAGAAGAAGGCCGACCGCAUAUCGAUCUGGUGUUGUUGGAAUCUAAGCUGAAACCAUCGUGUUGCAACAACAACAACAACCGAAAGCCAAGUCGCUGUGGAGAAGCGGAGUCAAACCUGCCAGUCAUUUCAUCGAAUCCCUGUAGAUUCGGAGCCCGUCAAUCAACCCCUUCAAAGUUGUGUCUGUAAAUAUAUAAUACUUAAAGUUAAAAUGAAAAUAACUCUUUUGUGAAUGCAGAUUCAUUAAUGUAUUUGUGAAACUGGUAAUACUUUACACCCCUCUGCUGUAUCUGUAUUCUGUAUACGUGUGGAUGAAUGAAUCAACGGCUGUAUAAAUAUUUGACUUUUGA
rnacentral:misc_RNA from 1 species